AGCUCCAAUAGCGUAUAUUAAAGUUGUUGCAGUUAAAAAGCUCGUAGUUGGAUUUCUGGUGACGACGUUUGCCCGGGUCAAUGACUCUGCGACGUAACGUUUUUGCCAUCCUUGGGGAAAACUAGUCUGGCAUUAGGUUGUCGGGUUAGGGAUCCUCAUCGUUUACUGUGAAAAAAUUAGAGUGUUCAAAGCAGGCUUACGCCGUUGAAUACAUUAGCAUGGAAUAAUAAGAUAGGACUUUGGUACUAUUUUGUUGGUUUGCGUACCUUAGUAAUGAUUAAUAGGGACAGUUGGGGGUAUUCGUAUUCAAUUGUCAGAGGUGAAAUUCUUGGAUUUAUGGAAGACGAACUACUGCGAAAGCAUUUACCAAGGAUGUUUUCAUUA
rnacentral:rRNA from 1 species